rnacentral:SRP_RNA from 1 species
GCCGGGCGCGGUGGCGCGCGCCUGUAGUCCCAGCUACUCGGGAGGCUGAGGCUGGAGGAUCGCUUGACUAAGUUCGGCAUCAAUAUGGUGACCUCCCGGGAGCGGGGGACCACCAGGUUGCCUAAGGAGGGGUGAACCGGCCCAGGUCGGAAACGGAGCAGGUCAAAACUCCCGUGCUGAUCAGUAGUUUAGCGAGACCCCGUCUC